rnacentral:rRNA from 1 species
AUGGCCGCGGACGCCGCCGCCGCAGGGCCCCGCCGGUGGCGCUGCGAGGAGGAGGAGCAGCAGCCGCACCGCCUCUCGGCGGCCGCCGCGGCCGACGACCGCUUCGACGGCCUCCCCGACCCUCUGCUCCUCCUCAUCUUCAACCGCAUCGGCGACGUCAAGGCGCUCGGCCGCUGCGCGCUCGUCUCCCGCCGCUUCCGCGCCCUCGUGCCCCUCGUCGACUCCGUGCUCGUCCGCGUCGACUGCGUCAUCCCCGACGACCCCGCCUCCUCCGGCUCCCCGUCCUCCUCCGCGCCGUCGUUCCCCACCGCCACCGCCUCCGCCCGCGCGCGCGGCGUCUUCUCGCAGAUCGCGCGCAUGCUCAUCGGCGGCAUCGUCAAGCCCAUCCAGGCGCUCGGCCAGAUCCUCUCCCACGCCGGCUCCGCCUCCGCCUCCCUCUCCUCCUUCCGCCGCUCCGCCUCCUCCUCGCUCUCGUCCUCCUCGGCGUCGGCGCCCCCCGGCGACGUCUCGCACCACUCGCCCUCCGAGGUGCUCCGCUCCUUCAAGGAGCUCCGUGUCAGCCUCCGCAUCGAGCUCCCCGCCGGCGAGCUCGGCAUGGACGACGGCGUGCUGCUCAAGUGGAAGGCCGACUUCGGCUCCACGCUCGGCAGCUGCGUCAUCCUCGGCGCCGCCUCCGCCUCUGCCACCAAGGACGGCACUACGGCCGCACCUCCUCCUGCUGCUGCUGAUUGUGCCGAGUCUGACGAUUCAGGGAGCAUACCGGAGUCCUUCUACACCAACGGGGGGCUUAAGCUGCGGGUGCUGUGGACUAUCAGCUCGUUGAUUGCGGCGUCGGCCCGGCAUUACCUGCUGCAGCCCAUCAUUGCCGACCACGCGUUGCUGGAGAGCCUGGAUCUGACGGACGCCGAUGGGCAGGGCGUGCUCACCAUGGACAAGUGGCAGCUGCAGGAGCUACGGGUCAGGCCAGUAUCAGCAUCUGGUGACUCGCACCGCACGCUCAUGCCGGCCCUUAGCAUGCGGUUGUGGUAUGCGCCACACAUUGAGCUGCCUGGGGGCACGGUCUUGAAUGGAGCAACACUGGUGGCCAUCAAGCCGAGCGAAGAGGCAAUGAUGGACGCAGUUGGGAAUGCAACUGCUGGGUCGGCAGGUGGAUCCUGGGUUUCAGAUGCCUUCGAGGAGCCAUAUCGGACGGCCGUCGGUGUGCUUCUCAAGCGGAGGAUGUAUAGCCUUGAGAUGAACUCAUUCUAA